CGGAAUCUCACCGCAAGAAGCCUCCAGCGCAGGAGCGGUCCCCUGGCACCCAGGAUGUUUAUUGACCUUCCUGGCCCCCAUGGCGUCCCCGUAUCGGGGCUUGUGCCCACCACCGCCAACACCCAGAGCCACAAAUGGCCCGGGAGAGCACUUUCCCGCCGUGUACCGGUGCCUCCACGGCUCUCACAUGCAACUUGCUGUGCCCAGCUUCCCCCCUCGGGGACCGAGGGCACUUCUGUGCCCGGAGACACCACCAGCCAUAGAGGCCAGGGAAGGACACCACAUGAGGCAAGACCGGUUAGGUUCUAAACAGGGCAAGAAUACUGGAAUGGGUUGCCAUUUCCUCCUCCAAGGGAUCUUCCCAACCCAGAAAUAGAACCUGUGUCCCCUGUCUCCUGCUUGGCAGGUGGAUCAUUACCACUGAGCCACCUGGGAAGCCCUUAGUAUGAGGAGGAAGCCCAGGCCUCGUGGGGAGGCUUCCUGAAGCUCUGCCAGCAAGCCCAGCUUCAGCUGCAGACGUGGUAGGGACGUCACCUCCAGUGGAGUCCAGCUCCUAGUGUUAGUAUCAACCCCAACUGUAACGAUAAGGCUUUGUAUUACACCUGGCCUUCCCAGAUGGCUCAGUGGUAAAGAAUCUACCUGCCAGUGCAGAAGACACAGGAGACAUGAGUUCCAUCCCUGAGUUUGGACGAUCCCCUGGAAACGAAAUGGCAACCCACUCCAGUAUUCUUGCCUUGAAAAUCCCAUGGACAGAGGAACCUGGUGGGCUACCAGCCAUGGGGUUUCAAAGAAUCAGAUGUUAUUGAACACAGAGGAGGAUCUGCUGGAGGAACCCCCCUGGGGCUGGAAUGAGGAACAGGGAUUGAGUACCCUGAAGGUUUAUGAAACAGCCAAAGAGAUUUCUUCAUAUUCAGGGAUAUACAUCCCUCUGCUCAGAUACAAUCUAAUUGGUGAAGGUGGGGCCCUUUGCUGCAUCAAUUUGAGGAGGAGCCCUGAUUUUUGGUUCUUACAGGUGGUGAGACCUAGAGAUUGACCUCCCAGAAAAAAGUACUGGCCCAGUUCUGGUGUCUCCAGAAGCAACUGCAUCAUUUAGAUGGUGUGGGAUUGUGUGAAGGAGGGUGUUUGGAGGUGGGCAUGUGUUGAAACCACAUAGUAUUACUGUGAAUCUGCCUGUCUGUGUAUAUCCUCAGAAAAAAAGAGGGACAUGUGCCCUCUUCAGCCUCACCUUUUCAUGCCAUGCCCUUCAUUCACACUUGCUCGUCCAGAUCUUCAUCAUCAUCAAUGACAUCCCCAAAGUGAAAGUGAAAGUGAAGUAGCUCAGUUGGGUCCAACUCUUUGGACCCCAUGGACUGUAGCCCACCAGGCUCCUCCAUCCAUGGGAUUCUCCAGGCAAGAAUACUGAAGUGGGUUGCCAUUUCCUUCUCCAGGGGAUCUUCCCAACCCAGGGAUCAAACCCAGGUCUCCCAAAUUGCAUGCAGAUGCUUUAACCUCGAGGCACCAGGGAAGCACAAUGACAUCUCCAAAAGCAUUCCUCAAAAAGAUUAACAGAGUUUUCUGACAUCUAGAAGGAAGAGAUCAGUCGGGCAGGUCCAAGCCCUUCCAGGGCAGGAAAGCAACCAUAUGCAGUAGCCCAGGGCAGUGCAGACUGUAUGGGGCCCAUUGAGCUGUGUGGGUCCAGACCUACUGACUCCAGCCUCAACUCCUGCUCAGGCCACUCAUGGUGACAAAGCCAGAUUCAAGGGUGCCGACCUGAGCUCAGGAGUGAGGACGAUGCUAAGAAAGUGGGGGAAGAGGGCUGCAGACAGAUUUCAUAUAUUUUAUAUAAGGUCCCAGGAACCCAGUUGCCUAUAAGAGACCUGGUCCUGCAGAAUGAUAAUCAUAAAAAGAUGGAAAGAGGAGAUGGGAAUAGGUUACAAGGAGAGUCUGUGGAUCAGAAAAAGAGAAAAGAAAAAAAAAAAAAAGAGAUAUGAAAGAAGAAAUAAAUGAUUUCCAUAUUCUUGCUCUUCUCUAAUUCUUCAUUAUCUGCUGUACAGUUUUCUGGUGUUGGUGGGCAGUAGUCAUGUGGAGUGGCUGUGAGAAAGUAAAAGGGCAAUUUAGAGUCAGGAUGUGACCAGGGGACCCUGUGCUCCUCAGAGCCUGGACUUGGGCCCCUGGUGUCCUUGUCUCCAGGGUCCUCCCAGGACCUCAGUGUUUUAUGCUUCAGUGAAAAAGUGGGUCUCUGACCUCCAAAAUCCUGUUGCCACCCUCAACUUGUCUACAUGUGACCAGGAAUGAGGCUGUGCCUCCUCCAAGUGCUCACUGUCUCCAUGAGUCUCUGCCCACGACCUUGUGAGAGAGUCAUUUCCUAGGCAGUUUGAUAAGAAGUCUGG
ensembl:lncRNA